rnacentral:rRNA from 1 species
UACGGAAGGCAGCAGUGGGGAAUAUUGCACAAUGGGCGCAAGCCUGAUGCAGCCAUGCCGCGUGUAUGAAAAGGCCUUCGGGUUGUAAAGUACUUUCAGUCGUGAGGAAGGUGUUAAGGUUAAUAACCUUAGCAAUUGACGUUAGCGACAGAAGAAGCACCGGCUAACUCCGUGCCAGCAGCCGCGGUAAUACGGAGGGUGCGAGCGUUAAUCGGAAUUACUGGGCGUAAAGGGCACGCAGGCGGUUAAUUAAGUUGGAUGUGAAAUCCCCGGGCUUAACCUGGGAAUGGCAUUCAAGACUGGUUAGCUAGAGUCUUGUAGAGGGGGUAGAAAUUCCAUGUGUAGCGGUGAAAUGCGUAGAGAUGUGGAGGAAUACCGGUGGCGAAGGCGGCCCCUCGGACAAAAGACUGACGCUCAUGUGCGAAAGCGUGGGGAGCAAAACAGGGAUUAGAUACC